rnacentral:lncRNA from 1 species
AUGGAAUGGUGCUUGAAAGGCUGGCAGCUUGAGAAGCUCCAUUUGCCUUGCCAUCCUCCCUGCUGUGGCUGCUUCUGCAGGCAAGGGGCUGGAACUGCAAAGCAGGGAGAAAUGAGCCUCGGGACUCAGGGCCAUGCUUCUGGGGAGUGGGUGGAUCUUCUGGUCAUACCGGUUCUGUCUGCAAAACAGGCACACUUGGAGAUAAAUAAUUACUGCAUUGCAUGGGUCAGAAAGAAGGAUGGAGAGAUGAGAGAUUAUCCACAACACACGGUGCCAAUCCUACAUCCAGCUAUCUUCACGAAUCAUGGAAAACAUUGUAAGCUAUGUGCAAUUUGCUUAAAUUUUAGAUUUGUUGAUGCAAUUUGCAACAGAUUAUAUUGCCCUAACAUUUUAAAGGUAUUAGGUUGUCAGAAAGCCUAUAAUUAAAAACUACUUUAAAAUAUCCUUCUCACUCUGUACAACCACCUAUCAAAACCUUCUUUUCCUUUUCCUGAGACUUACUUCUACAUUAGUAUCUGAAAUCUCUCACCUACUUGCUCUUCACACGUAAUAGACAACAUUCUGGCCACAUUCACCUAUAAAAAUAGGAAUGUAGUUCAUCCCAACAGCUGCUGCCUUUAGUAGAAUUUUCCCUAGCAGUGGCUGGCAGUCCCUAGGAGGACUAUCAGGUUCCCCUUUGUAAGAGACGAAAUGAUCAAUGUCUGUCAAUCAAACAAAAACCUGUCUGGAAAAGGGAAAAAGGGACUAAGGAAGUAGAAAAAAAACCACCACACCAUGAUAGUAUGUUUGUAAUUUAAAAGUUACGAGUGACUUCCAGAUAUCAAGGAAGAAAAAAGUAAUUAUUUAUAUUUGGCAUGAUUUUCAAAGUUGUCAUUGUACCUAUAGGUUCCUUCUGAAGUCAUCAUAAACUGUGGGUAUUCAGCACCUUUGAAAACCUUGCCAAAAUUGCCUUUAGACUGUAAGCUCCUUAGGGCAGAGACCUGUUACUCAUUUGGCAAAUUGUAUUGCAUUCCUCCUUUGCCUAAACCAGAAUGUUUGCGUAAUAAUAUUAGUAAUAACAGAUAUCAGAUUGGUGCUAGAAUCCAGAAAUAUCUGAUGUGGUUCUAUACCUUCUUAUUAUCUCAAAACAUUAAAUAAAAGCUCAUUUUAUAGGCA